AAUUGGCCAUUAUGAUACUGAAAUGAGUUAAAUAAAAUAUAAAUUAUGAUAUUGAAUUGCAUAAAAGUUAUUAAAAUAAUCAAUUACAUAUGUAGUAUGUAGUAUGAAUCUGAUUCAGUCUAUGAAUAGACCAUUCCCGUCUGACCUUACCCCCCUUUUUUUUAUUUUUCUUCGAAAGACAUUUGGAUUUCAUGAUCAUUGCCGUUUUUGAAUUUUUUUUAUAUGUAUUCCUGAUUUUCAUACAAUUUUUUGAAAACUCGAAAAAUCUCUCCAAUUUGUAAUUAAAAUCACCGUGCGAAGUAGUGUGUACACCCCUUGCAUGUGGAGAUGUUUUUUACUGUGGAGAAUAUGAUUCCAACCCUAACGUCGUUCUGGCAUAGAGCUUGCUGACGUUUAUUCACCUUUCUCUUUCAAACAUGCAGGCGGAAUAGGAUUUGUUGUCAUCAGGAAAGGUUUCCCGAUGAAAACAAAUCCUAUAGGAUACUGCAAGAUGACGUCACGAAGCCGUGCACUGACAGUUCAGCGAGCUUGUUUACAUGGACUUAGUCUCUGGCGGAGAUCUGGCAAAACUGUUUUUCGGUACAAUUUCGGUAAAACUUUAAUUAGACGAUUGGUCUUGUACUAGUAGGAUUGAAUAUAAUCGAUAUUUCCGUAUCAUAAUGGUUUCGGGACGGAAAAAGUAAAUUUAAUUUUCGCCGCUCGUAAAAAUUCUAACACCUUGUAAACAAGCUCGCUGAGCUGUCAGACAAAGUGAGGUUAGAUCAGGUGCUUGCAGUACCCUAUGCCGUCUGCAUGCUUGAAAGAGAGAGGUGAAUAAACGUCAGCAAGCUCUAUGUUUACUUUUCAAACUGUCAAACCCCCAUCGCCUCAUCUCCUGCUGAUUGUAGCAAGAAGACAGUCUUCGUCCCACUGCAUAUUUCGAUAACGGAACCGUGGCCACAGGACCGACGAAAAAAGAACGACGGCAAAGCUGCCGACGAAGAAAGCAGAAGUCUUCAUCUGUCCAGCGGAUCACCUCUUGUGUCAUCCCCAAUCAUUGUCAGUGACACAGAAGUAUUGCUUUCUCUGAUUUAACAUCCGGAUCCAAGUCGGAAGAGCGGGAGUCCGUCCGUACUCCACAAUCCUAACCGCGAGAAGACAUCCGUGCAAAACGAGCUCCUCGCAGCAUUCCAAUCUCAUACAUAAGUUACCGCAGCACGCCACGACAUCCAUCCCAUACCCCUCGGCAGUUUCAACGAAAAUCUCAUCCAGGCCCAUGUCAUCAACCUCGAACCGGCUCACAGUUCCUUGAAAACCUCGCCCCAUUUCGAUGGAUUUUAGGAUCGAUUCCCUGGCACUGUCUUCAGCUUCCUCGGUAUCUUCCUCCAGAAGGUCAUCUACCUACCGGAGGAAGCCUUCAAUGACCCCAGAUAUUCAAAGCCAUCAAAUUCAAAUCCGAAUAAUCGAAAGGACCGGAGAGCCAAGAUGGUGACAGCGAUAAAAUCGUCAAAUGUUUCCGGUGGGAGUUUUGUGCUUCCCAACGCGAUCGCCAGUCGGAUUUAGCAGGAUUUCACCAAAAUGGGUACCCAGAGAUCGGCGUCAUCAUUAUCGCGAACAUCAGCCGUGCCAACUCCGGGUGAGCUCGACUUGUUACGGAAUGACGGUAAAUACGGAAGCGGAAGACACAAAAUUCUUGCUGUAAAACAACUUCAGCGGUCAGUACAACCAGUUUCGCCGGGGUAUGGACGGAAGCGGAACCACCAUGGAUCUGGACGACGACGACGGCGAGAACUACUGUGCGUACCUUCCUGCCCUGAAAGAGAUACGACCACCAUCAACCCGGAGGUGUUAUACUAACAGCUACGUGAGUGUACGGAGAAGCUGUAUACCGCUUCCUGACUCCGCUGUGCGUCUACCAGGUGGAAAAUGUGGAUGACCGGUUAACGACGGCGGUUAUCAUCGGGUUUGAGUAUGGCCAGUCAACGUGACGUACUGUGAAAGUUGUUUUAGCGAAGAGGAAAAAAGGCAAGAAACAAACAUGUUUUUUAUGUUAUAUAUUUUUGAAAUAAACGUAUUUUGUGCUAUCAAACAA